AUUGGGAUCCAUCCUUCUGGGUCUGUAGGGCAACACAGCUGGUGGCUCAGGCAGAAAUGCCAAAGGUUGAUCAUGUGGGGUCACAGGUUGUGGAAUAGGCUAAGGUUCUAGUUGAUUCUGCUGGAUCUGAACUGGUGCAGGACCUUCUGGCCAGACUAGGGCCUCAUGUUCUUGGACGGGAAGGGCUCAUCCCCUCUGUCCAGCCUGGAUCUCUCCAUGCCCUGGUAUUCCAGCUAUUUGUGCAAUGAGAGGGUUCUCUUGGUAUGGCCAUGCUAAUCCUGGUAGAGGGCCAUAAGGAAGGUCUAGCUGCUGGACUACAUCAUCUGAAUUUGGAAUUCUGGCCAUGGCAGCCUCACGGUCCUUCUUGAACUGCCUGUUAACCUGCCAUUGCAUCAUGGCUGUCAUGUUAUUGAGAGUAUCCUGGCUCCUUUGUGUUGUAA
rnacentral:lncRNA from 1 species